CAGUAGCCGCGGGAAUACAGAGGGUGCGAGCGUUAAUCGGAUUUACUGGGCGUAAAGCGUGCGUAGGCGGCUUCUUAAGUCGGAUGUGAAAUCCCUGAGCUUAACUUAGGAAUUGCAUUCGAUACUGGGAAGCUAGAGUAUGGGAGAGGAUGGUAGAAUUCCAGGUGUAGCGGUGAAAUGCGUAGAGAUCUGGAGGAAUACCGAUGGCGAAGGCAGCCAUCUGGCCUAAUACUGACGCUGAGGUACAAAAGCAUGGGGAGCAAACAGGAUUAGAUACCCGAGUAGUCCCUGUCUCUUAUAC
rnacentral:rRNA from 1 species